AUUGAACGCUGGCGGCAUGCCUUACACAUGCAAGUCGAACGGCAGCACGGGUGCUUGCACCUGGUGGCGAGUGGCGAACGGGUGAGUAAUACAUCGGAACAUGUCCUGUAGUGGGGGAUAGCCCGGCGAAAGCCGGAGUAAUACCGCAUACGAUCUACGGGUGAAAGCGGGGGGCCUUCGGGCCUCGCGCUAUAGGGUUUGCCGCUGGCGGAUUAGCUAGUGGUUGGGGGGAAGGCCUACCAAGGGGACGAGCAGUAGAUGGUCUGAGAGGACGACCAGCCGCACUGGGACUGAGCCACGGACCAGGCUCCUACGGGAGGCAGCAGUGGGGAAUUUUGGACAAUGGGCGGAAGCCUGAUCCAGCAAUGCCGCGUGUGUGACGAAGGCCUUCGGGUUGUAAAGCACUUUUGUCCGGAAAGAAAUCCUUGGCUCUAAUACAGUCGGGGGAUGACGGUACCGGAAGAAUAAGCACCGGCUAACUACGUG
rnacentral:rRNA from 1 species